CUGGUUGUAAAACUCUGUUUUCCAUGUACGAUCGUGUUCCAAAGUCUUGAUCCAUUCAGCAGGCAGCGAGCUCGCGUCAAAGCUUGCAGGUGUGUGCCGUUCCUCAGCAUACGAUUCCCAAACAGAGGAACGCUCUCUCUCCAGAAGAUAAAGUACACCGGCCCCCAUGAGUCAUAGCUGCUGGGAAGCGAAUGAGUAUUUUAUUACCGCUGUUCCAACAUGCACAGCUCAUGUGCAGCUUCAGCCCCAGACACGUCGAGAGCAUGCUGGCAUCCAGCCACCAGCACUGCACAGCUCUACAGCCUGCAAACAUAGCAAUGUUUAAGCGUUACCACCGAUACCAGCCCGGUCUUAUUCUUAGGCUGUGCAAUCCACACUUUGGUGUGUUCUAUGCCCAAAGGGAUUACGGUUGCCCGUGGCUCCUUUUGUGGCUGUAGCUCGAAACCGAGAUCUGUUCAAGAUAAAAAGGCUUUGACAUGAUCAAAGGAGAUGCCAAAACGGCCUCAGCUAAGGCUGAAAAUAUAAGAAUGUCUGCUCUUACAAAUAGCUCUCAAGGGAAAACAAAGGGUGUGUGCUUUUAAAUCGAUGCUGGUUGGUUUGCUCGGAUUUGGCCGGAGAAACACCUGAAUGCAGCCAAGUCAGAUAUGCGACACGAUGGAAAAACCCUAUGCACAAUGUCUGUUCGCAGAAAUGAACUAUUUGGACAUAGUCUAUUAAAAAGUUAUGACGGGUCAUGUGGACAGGAAAAUGAAGAUCAUGAUUGCCUGCUUUUAAAAGAACACCUUUCAAUCCUUAGACAAUAAGCUGGACCAAGAUUACACAAUUUCAACCUUACAACUGAAGUGAGAAGAAGGGAAUUUAGUUAGAUUAAACAAGGAAAGGCGUCUUGCCAGUGAACAGUGAGGCCAAUUAAAAGAAAUUUAAAUUAUGAUCUAUAGUGUUUUUUUUUGUUUUUGUCCAGAACUCCUGAGCACUACUUGUGUAUGGAUGCAUGCAGUCUAUCUAGAAAACAACAAAAACAAAAAAUGGUUAGGACUAUCUUUUAUUUUUUAAUAAAUGUACUCAUGUCAACCAGCGUACUAGAAUUAGAAGAUUCAGAAAUGCCAGAUAUAUUUAAGGCACUUACUGGUUGCUAAUUACAGAGAGGAAAUAUUGGCAAGAAUUAGAUUGCCUUUACAUGGAUAAUGUAUUGCCCUCUUGGCAAAGCUUUAUGUAAUACUGCAAGUUGCAUGUAUAAUUUAAUUCUGUGAUAGAAAACAUUUUAUAUGAUAUACGACUGACCUCGUAUUGCUCUUUUUUCCAUAUCUGAAAUAUAGUAUUAACAUAUUACCAAAUUUAAAGGUCAUUCCUCCCAGAUGACAGCAUGUACGUCCAAAAUUUCAAAUGCUGAAAUUAUCCAAUAUUGUAGCAAACUAGCCUGAAUCCAAGCCCACUUAUAAUUUUUUUUUCUUUUUAAAGCAUGUGGGCAUGUACAUUUGGAUAAAAAUUAGUCUAUAUGGGGGAAGAAAAAAAAAAGAGUGUGAUUUCUGAAAGAACAAAACACAGAAAUGUGAAUCUGGUGCACCAUAUAAAGACUCAGCAGAGCUCAUGCUGCUGUGCAGACGGUCUGGUUCUCUAAUGAAGAUGAUAACAUUACGACAAAUCACUCUUUCCAUGCAGUUUGGCACCAUCGUGUCCUGAUAACUUACCAGGCUAGUGGACAUCCUAAUUACUCGUUUGCAUCUGGGAAGUCUUUUAUUCGAUAACACUUCAUAAACAAUGUCCUAACACAGUGUUUUAAAGCCAUCUGCAUUCUGGGUGUGUAUAUAUAUAUAAUUUUUUAUAACAGCCAUCAAAAUCCGUCGUGGAAGAACUUGUGCAUAAUGUAAUGACUGGUAAAGACACAUGGAAUUUAUAAGCAGUUUCAGGAAAAAGGCUGGUCUUGGGAGGUUUAAAAAAAAAAGUGCCUGAAUAUGAAUUUGAAACUGAUUUCCUCAACAGCAGUGGUUUAAAUCCCAUCUUGGGCCUCUUGCAAUUUUAAUCUUGGAGGUGCUCAGAGCGCAGAAUGGCUCUAACUUGGCAGCAGAAUUCACUUUUUCCUUUAAACAAAGCCCGACAGAGGAAAGCACAACCAAGUUUCAUUUAAAACUGAUUACAGCCAUUCCAAAAAGCAUGCUGAAAUACGAGCUGGAAGUGAAUGUGUUCAGUGUAUGAGAAAAUUGGACUUGGCAAGUCGGUAAACUGUUGAAGAUUCUGUUCUCGAAAAGGCGAACGAGAAAGAGAAAAUACAGACGACAACAUAUCAAACCAUGAGCAAAAUGCUAUUUUGUUGUAUAUUAAAGAACAGGUACGUUUCGGUCAUACUCGAGCUUUCUAAAAACACAGAAAACCUCAUGUUUGCAUUCCUUUCUGUGUUAUGGACCAUGAGCCAUCCACUUUACAGCAGAGGAAUGCACAUCUGGAUACAUCUUCCCAGUGUAUAUAUUUUCUAGCUACUCCUUCAAAAUGCAGCUCCAAUGUGCUCAAAACUAAAAAUAAAAAAUUUUUAAAAAUCAUAAUAAAUAAAUAAAUAAAUAAAUAAGGCUGACAUGAUGACUGAAUCAAGUGCUCAAACAAACUGAAACAAAGACUUGGGUUCUCAAAGAAGCAAAGACUCUUGAGCGCAAGCGGUCCCAACAUAGUCAAAGACAAAAGCUCUUCAAGAGAUUACAGUAUUUUAAACGUUCCGUUCCUGCUGAAGGCCGAAAGUUUCAAAACAAUCCCUCUCUGUGUAAAUCCCACACUAAGAGGUGCAGUAAUUGUAGUGUGGCUAUUGGCACAAGGGCCCUUAUGCAGGUAAAGCAAAGAAAAAUACUGCAGGGGAGAUGUAAACAAAGCUGCUGAUGAGGGCAUGGCUCUGAUUUCAGUCCACAUGCAGACCACACGGCUUCCAGCUUUUUUUUUUUUUUAAUGGAAUCUAACGGGAAAGAAUGGAAUGGAACAGAAUGCCAUGAAACGAACUGGUGGAAUAAAAGAGAACAGAAUAGGUUUAGUGGUUUGCACGUUUCCCUCGCACCUCCAGGGCUGGGGGUUCGAAUUCCGCCUCAGCCCUAUGUGCCGGAACUUUGCAUGUUCUCCCAGUGCUUCGGGGGUUUCCUCCAGGUACUCCGGUUUCCUCUUCCAGUUCAAAGGCAUGUUGGCUUUUCCCAAUUAUCCAGGGUAUGUGAAGUGUGUGAGCUUGUGCCCUGCAAUGGGUUGGCACCCCAUCCAGUGUGCGCCCCACCCCCUCCCCCCCUCGGCCUUGUGCCCAGAGUUCCCUGGGAUAGUAUACAGGCUCCCCGUGAGCCUUUGUAGGAGAAGCGGUAUGGAAAAUGGAUAGAUGAAAAAAGAAUGCCAUGGAACUGAAUGGUGAAAUGGAAUGGAUUGGAAAAAAUAAGCCAAGGAAUGGGACGGAAUGGAAAAGAAUGCCAUGGAACUAACUUGUGGAAUGGAACAGAAUGGAAUGGAAAAACAUGCCAUGGAUUGAAAUGAAAUGGAGUGGAAGGCCAUGGAACUGAAUGGAAAUGUGAAAUGGAAUAGAAUGGAAUGGAAUGGAAUUAAACAGGAUGGGAUGUAAUGGAGUGGAAUUUUAUAGUCUACACUCUUAGAAAGAAGUUCCUCACAGGUUCUUUGGAAGGUAAAUAGUUCUAGCUGUCUAGAAAAUCUUGCUUUGGAAACUUUUCCCAGCCACCCAGGUACACUUUGGCACAUAGCAAUACUUAUCACAUUUAAUUAAUAACUUAUUUUGGGGGGAAAAUCCAAACAAACUAGGCCCAUUUCUAGUUUGGCUGUGACGUGAACGAAACACUGGGUCAAGGUCAGCGUCACAGUCAUGGUCAGAUAAAGGCGGAGGGAAGAUAGAGGACGGUAAAGCAUUCACCAACCCUGAUACUUGGUUGAUGUUAAUUGCAUGGUUGGUUGCUAACUAGUAGAUCGCAUGAAGAAGAAAAGAAAAGAACAUGCAAGAUCUCACAAACACAAGCACCUCUCCAUACAUCACCCCUACUGCAACCUCAGACAAGGCAACAUCCAGAAACCCAUUAGGGUGAUUUGAUUGAACUGUUAUACUAAAACAGUAUUGUUUCUGUGUGGUGACUUAUAAAGAUGAUGCACAUGGAACAUAAAAUCAAUCUGCUAAUUCUUUACUCGUUAUUUAUUAUUAGUAGUAGUAUUGCAUCUGUUUAGUGUAGUAACAUUCUGAAAGUCUGUUCAUUUUACAUUCAUUUCUGUUUUAUCAAAGCAAGCAUGAGUGACUACAUUUUAGAAAUGUAAACAAACCAAUAAACAAAUAAAUACAUAAAUAAAUAUUGUCCUUUAGAUAAUAUUUUCUCUCUUGUCAUUACAGUCAGAUUACAUUUCUAUGAAGAUGAAGGGGCCAUAUGACUGACGGGAAAAACACUGCAUCACUGUAUCAUAUUUCAAUAUUCUCGCACUGGAUAAUUUAAUUUAAUGUAACAAUAUUUGUAACAGUUUAAUAAAUUUACAGUAAGCCAUGAUGCUGUAGAGUUGCAGUUAACCUUAGGGUUUAUUGUUUUGGGGGGGUUAUUUCUAGCUUGAGUGAUGAAUGUAUAACUGUUUCCCAAACAGCAAAAAAAAAAAAACAACAACAACAACAAAACUACAUUCGAGCAUUUGUUUACAAAAGGUGGAGGAAAGGAAAAAGGCAAAUGAAUGACACUGACAAUAAUAAUAAUAAUAAUAAUAAUAAUAAUAAUAAUAAUAGUAAUAAACCCUUUAGUUUUGUAGGUCGGUGUUCAAUAGAGGCAACAGGCUGAGUGUUUGCUCCCUCGCGAGCCCAAACUUUUCCUUCUCACUUUCGCUACCUCUCACCUUCAGUCUGUUUUCUACUUAACCGUGCGUCUGAAUACUGAAAUAAAAUCUUACCUUAUAUGUCUUUUAAUGUCAGACAGGCAUUUUGACACGGUUCCUCUCCAUUGCUGUAGCUGCUUUAAGUAUUUAAACCUUCUUAACAGGACGAGUUUACGCUACGACUUUUCCCUCGUUCGGUCCUAUUGGAAGACAGCGUUGUCAGUGAUGUUUUUUCCCCACCUGUAUUAUGAUAACCCCGCCUCCUGGACUAGGAUUGAUUAAUGGUUUUACAAUCCGGUCGUUACUACGAACUAUUAGCCAAUCCGAGCUAAAGGGGUGGAACAUUAACCAAUCGUAACGAAGGAGGCGGGAUUUGGAGGAAUAUGGGUAGAAAAUAAGGCUGUUCUUUUUCCUGUGGCUGAUAUAGAGGGCAAUUAAAGGGCCAAGUGUUUUGUUUGUUACAUUUUCGUGUAUACUCAGAAAUACUAGCUAUAGCUACUAGAUUAAGUAUAUAA
ensembl:lncRNA